rnacentral:rRNA from 1 species
CGGCCACAUUGGAACUGAGACACGGUCCAGACUCCUACGGGAGGCAGCAGCUAAGAAUCUUCCGCAAUGGACGAAAGUCUGACGGAGCGACGCCGCGUGGAGGAUGAAGGCGUUAUGCGUUGUAAACUCCUUUUAUAUGGGAAGAUAAUGACUGUACCCUAUGAAUAAGCAUAGGCUAAUUACGUGCCAGCAGCCGCGGUAAUACGUAAUAUGCAAGCGUUAUUCGGAAUUACUGGGCGUAAAGGGAGCGUAUGUGGCUAAAUAAGUCGGAUGUGAAAUCCUACGGCUUAACCGUAGAACUGCGUUCGAAACUGUCUAGCUUGAGUCCGGGAUGGGAUGCCGGAAUUCCUGGGUGUAGGAGUGAAAUCUAUAGAUAUCAGGAAGAACACCGGUGGCGAAGGCGGCCAUCUGGCCUAGGACUGACACUGAGGCUCGAAAGCGUGGGGAGCGAACGGGAUUAGAUACCCCGGUAGUCCACGCCGUAAACGUUGUACACUAGGUGUUAGUGGUAUCGAUCCCACUAGUGCCGCAGUUAACGCAUUAAGUGUACCGCCUGGGGAGUAUGCCCGCAAGGGUGAAACUCAAAGGAAUUGACGGGGGCCCGCACAAGUGGUGGAGCAUGUGGUUUAAUUCGAUGAUACGCGAAGAACCUUACCUAGGCUUGACAUAUUCAGGAAUGUCUGUGAAAGCAGGCAGCCCUUCGGGGCCUGAAUACAGGUGGUGCAUGGUUGUCGUCAGCUCGUGCCGUGAGGUGUUGGGUUAAGUCCCGCAACGAGCGCAACCCCUAUUGAUUGUUGCUACCGGGUAAUGCCGGGCACUCGAUCGAAACUGCCGUUAAAAAACGGAGGAAGGUGGGGAUGACGUCAAAUCAUCAUGCUCCUUAUGUCUAGGGCUACACACGUGCUACAAUGGCUGAUACAAAGGGCAGCAAGACCGCGAGGUGGAGCAAAUCCCAGAAAGUCAGCCUUAGUUCGGAUUGCAGUCUGAAACUCGACUGUAUGAAGCUGGAAUCACUAGUAAUCGCGGAUCAGCAACGCCGCGGUGAUACGUUCCCGGGCCUUGUACACACCGCCCGUCACACCACCCGAAUCGGUUUUACCCGUAGUCGUUGGGCCAACCGCAAGGAGGUAGCG